UACGUAGGGUGCGAGCGUUGUCCGGAAUUAUUGGGCGUAAAGGGCUCGUAGGCGGUCUGUCACGUCGGGCGUGAAAACACGGGGCUUAACCCCGUGCCUGCUUCCGAUACGGGCAGACUAGAGGUAUGCAGGGGAGAACGGAAUUCCUGGUGUAGCGGUGAAAUGCGCAGAUAUCAGGAAGAACACCCGUGGCUAAGGCGGCUCUCUAGUACGGUACUGACGCUGAGACGCGAAAGCGUGGGGAGCGAACAGG
rnacentral:rRNA from 1 species